rnacentral:lncRNA from 1 species
CUCCAUAUAAACUUUAUUAAUUCAAGUAAUUUUAAAAAGUAUUUUAACACCAGAUAUGCACAUUAUGUACUUCAUAUGUGCUUUUACAAUGUCCAAAAAAAUUUUUUUAAUUCAUAUACAUGAAAUCAGUAGAAUAAAAAACAAGUAUGAAGUUAUUUACUUCAGCAGGUAAUUUUCCCAUCAGCAUAUAAUCCAUAAACUCUUCAUUUUCAUAGGAUAACUAAAACAAGGUAUUGAUGGACUCUCACAUCAGUUAAGAAGACCAACUAAAAGGAAACAUUCAGAGUAAAUAAAUUUUAUUUAUUUGAUAAUGAGUCAGAAUGUCUAAGGUAGAAAAGAAUCCGAAACUUGCAUUAUUUGAAUUACUCAUAUUAGUUACAUAACUCGGGAUCAUAAACAGAGUUGAGUCUGAGAUCUAUUGAGACCCUCAUAUCAAUUCUGUGCAACUCCAGUUGCAAUUCUGUGCAACUAAGUCUCUUAUCCAAGUCUGAACAAGAACUAAAGAGCUCUUGUUCUUCCAAGAAGCAUGGUUGCUUAUCUUUUGCCAAGAAAAGGUCAAAGAAAGUAGAAAAGAAGUGUGGGAGGUGGAGGACUUGUGUACAUACACUCUUGGCAGAUAACCGGGACACCUAUUUUACUAAGCAAAAUAUGUACUUCCCAUUUGCCUCAGAUCGUCUAUUUUCCAUUCAUUCUUCCUGUCUUCCAUUCUAAGGUUGAUCUCAUCCUUUCCCAGUUAAGUUCUGAGACCUUAAUUCAUAAACCAUCUCUGUUUUCAGUCUUCCCCCUCUUUCCCUCCACCAGUUCCUCCCCACAUAUCAAAGCACCAACUUUCUUCUGUCUUGGGAAGAAAAGAGUCCUUCAUGAGUCCUGUUCCUGAAGAGCCCAGUGAUAUGCCCUAACUCCUUACCUUUACCAUCAACCUUCAUAAAAGAUUUUACCUAGUGCCACAAUUCUAUUUUCCCUUUCAUGGCAUAAUUCCCUGAGAUCUGAGUUUUCUCAGACUCAUCUCUUUAUACUACUUAUAAACAUACAUGCUUCUCCCAAUCUCCUGCACUUCAUCUUCACACUUCUUUUGAUCAGUUCUUCUCAGUCUCCUUCCCUGGAACCUCUUAUAAUGUCUACCUCUAAAAUAGAAGGUAGAAGAUGUACUCAACAGUUUAAUCUUCAUCUUGUUCGUACUUGACAUACUUCUCUUUGAGGAUUUCUUCUAUUAUUUCUGCCCUUUAUUGACUUACAAAAACUCUAUUAAGGGCCAACCAUGUGACAGGUGCUUUCCCUGUAGCUUGUGAUUCAGCGAUCAACAGGACUGACAAGAUACCAUUAUCAUGAGUUGAUAUUCUAGUGUACAUGUAUAUUAGAGGGGAAGGGUGGGCAAUGACCAAUACUAAACUAAUUAAAAGGUAAAUAAAUGAGAAAGUUAUCAAAAUACAGUGGCAAAAAAUUUGUAAUUGAGCCUUGUCAGAUAAAGGAUCUGAGCUUAGCCUUCCCAAGUUGGCACAGGUUAGUCCCAGAGUAUCUAGCUAGGGAGAUUGCCAGCUAAGGAUCAUGGCUCAUAGUGGGCCAACCUGAGCUGAAAUGACUCCAACUCACAGCCAGAUUUCAGAGGGGUCUCUAACAGCAGAGGCCUUGUCAGUCAGGAAACAUCACUAGUUUCUGACAAAAUUGCAGGAGAGGAGUCCAAACGCUGGCAGGGAGAGUAACCACCAACAAAGGACAUCACCAGAGUGACCAGAGGAACCUUGAGACAAUAUGGGAAUCUGAGAGCCCUGCCUUUUUCAAGCCAUAAAAUCACAGAAGCCGGCCCUCCACCACAAACUCAGAUGCCAUCUUAGAGAAGCUGAGACUCUCAUCAGUUAAUACUAAGACACUAAACACUACUGACUGAAAAGAAAUGUUUAAAUUCUUAUAUGAGCUUAAGUUUUAAACCUGAUUGACCAAUUUCCUUGUAUUUUCUGCUGCUGGUAUUUGUUUUUUCCCUUGCAUUCCCAAUCCCACAAUAACCAGCAAAUUGAGGAUUCUAGAAGGUGAAUUAGAGUAGUGAUAGCAAAUAAAAUUUCCCCUGCAAUUCUGGGUUGUGACAUGGCUCUGUGUUUUUCUCUAAUUCUAACCUCCUUCUUGAGUUCCACAUCAGGGUUUCUAAAACAAAAUGUAUCUGUCCCAUAUACAGACCAACUUUUUCCUAAAUCCCUUGCCUCAAAAUGAACUGCUGAUUUUCCCAAUCAAUCAGAUUGAAAACUUUGGAGUCUCCCAAAUGUCACAAGCCAAACCUGAGAAACUGCUCAGAUAUAUUUAUUUAUAUUCUCACUGCCACUCUGCUGGCUCAGGGCCUCUUUCAUUUCACCUAAAAGAUUACAAAGUCUCUUCACUGGUUUUCCUGGCAACAGGUCAUGAGCAUAGCUCUGUGGAAGUGGACAAAAGUAGGAGGAUCCCUGUAUCAUAUGUUAAUAUCCAUCAGAGAAAAUCUCAUGAAAGAGGCAAAAAACAACCAUGUAUACAGAAUACUAACCAGCUGACAUCAUCCAACUUCUGCCAUUGACCACUUUAGUGCUGGCAUAAUGAACAAGGUAGCCAUGGUGGCAGAACAGAGGCUAUAUAUGGGCCCAAGAGUAUGGGCUCCCUCUCACCAAAGUUGACUUAGCCAACUGCUACAACAGAUUAUCCAAUCUCCCAGUAACAGAGACCAAGGCCAAGCCCCAAAUAUGGCAUAUUCGCUCAAGAGAUCAACCAGACAGUGUAAACUUGUUACACUGGACCCUUUCCACUUUCAAAGGGACAGUGAUUCACGCUGACUAGAAUCAACACAUAUUACAGGCAUGGAUUUGCCUUUCCUCACCACAAGGCAAUAACCAGUACCUAUCUGAGACCUAACAAUGUUUCUGGUUCACUUUAUAUCUUACAUAACAUUAAGAGACCAAAGACUCCUCUUUAUAGCAAAGGAGCUAUGAGCACAGACCAUUGAGUCCACUGGUCCUAUCACAUACCACAACAUUCAGAGGCUGCCAGUCUGAGAGCAAUGGAAGAGCAUUCUGAAGGCAUAGUUAAGGUACCCCCUUGGAGAUGAUACCAUAUUAAGAUAGGACACCCUCCAGGAUGCAGUUAUACCCUAAAUCAUAACCAUUACGAUAAUGCAUCUGUAAUAAGUAACAUACAUACAGGCAGGAAACAAAGGGGAGAGAGCAGAAAUGGCCUCAAUUGCCAUCCUUACCAAUGACCCAUUUAGAAAUUUAUUAUUUCCCUUCCCUGCAAUGCUAGGUUCUAUGAAUCUAGAGGUCUUAUUCUCACCAAGUAACACAGCCCAUUAAACUUUUAGUUACAACUGCUACCUGGUCAUUUCAAGUACUCUGGGCCAAGAAACCAGAGGGGAGGGAAAGGAGUCACCAAUCUGGCAGGAUUAAUUGACCUUGGUCAUCAGGAAAACAUAGGGCUUCUGUCACACAAGUGCAGGGAAGAAUAUUUUUUAUCACUCACAUGACAAACAUGUUUGCCAUGUUAAGGGCAUAUAUGAAAGGUAUCUAUCUCUUCAUACUCCUUUGCCCAGUUCUGACAACAAACAGACAAAUGCAAGAGCCAUAGCUCAGAGAUUAUGGUGAGCAAGGGAACUGGGCCUCAGAACCUCCCAGGUAUGAAGGACUCAAUGACCUCAAGUAAUCUGCCCAGACCAGCAGAGGUGUCAGCCACGGGUAAGAGGAAAUCUAGAACUGGUAGCAGAGGAAUAUAAUGAAUAUUAGUUUUGACCUCAAGCUGUAGUGAAAAAGACUGAGGUAAGUCCUCCUUACCUUCCUCUUAUAUUUCUAGAAAGAGACCAACCAUAAUCCUAGAGGAGCUAUCGCCAGAUGGCGUGAACUUAUUAAAUGAAGCAAAUGGAGGAUAGUAAGGAUUGUUGGAAUGCACUGCUCGGGACUUUAUUCAGGACCAAGGCAUUCAUUCUCAGGUGAAAGAAAGCUGUACAAGGCAGCUCACAACUGGCAUCUCUCCAGAAAGUGCCCUCAAUUAAAGAGAGCUUCCUCUCCCAAGGAUAUGCCUGCCCCCUUUCCAGGGAAAGUCCAAAUCAAAUGACUAAACCAUGAGGGGAACAAGGGCCAGCCUGCUUGCCUCAAUUCAGGACAACUCUGAAGACACAUGUCAGGUCCAGAAGUCACAACAAGGAAAAUUAACUGAAUCAGAGUUCAACUUCUCCCUCUUCCAAUCCUGCUUUGUUCACCCACCUUAUAAGUGUUUUUUCCAAUUAAUCUCCUUUACACACUACACUCUCUGCCCUUUUGAAAUGUCUCUAUUCAUCUUAGCGCAUUUCCUUGCUUUCUUUCAUGUUAAAACAAUGCAAGCUCACCUUCUAUUUUUCCUGCCCUAGAGUCAGCCAUUUCUAAAUAACCACUAUUCCUGAAUUAGAAGAGAUACACUGCAAGAGAAAUUGAUGACUCUAGGUAAAAGUCGAAUUUUUAUUUUGAAAAUUUUCAAGUUGGAAGGUCAAGAAAAAAAAAUAUUUCUUUAGAACCUACCGUAAGCAUUUUCCUUUAGUCCUCCUUUAUCCAGUGAGACUGGACCAUGUGUAUACUGCCAAGUUCAUUGCUAACCACUAUUUCUCCUAUUUUUUAUCUCCCCAUAUCCUAGUCACUGCUGAAACCCUUUUGUUGGUUAGCAUAUUUUCUCAAGACAUCCCUAAUCUCUGACUCCCCAAAUAUCUAUAAAUAUCUCUCUCUUUGAAAGUGACUGAUAGCCUAGCCUAGUACAGGAUUCACAGGGUGUAAUUCUCUCACUAGCCCUUUGACAUUAUCCUACCAUCUUCUAGUCUCCAAAGUUGGACACAGGAAAUUCAAUCUCAGCCUGGUGUUUUUUUUUUUUUUUUUUUGUUUUUUUUUUUUUUUCCUUCACAACUUAUUUUUUUCUAUCUAGAAUCCAGCAAGAUUUUGUUAUCCUUGAAUUUUAAAAGCUUUAUAGGGUAUGCCUAUUAACAGCUUUUCUCACUAAUGCUAACUGAAACAGGUUGGGUGAGGGAAUGGGGUAACCUGCAAAAUGCAGACUUAGGUCUUUCUUCUAAUAUGAGUUCUUAAUAUUUUC